GGCUCUCCAUCGCUCAGUGGUUAGAGCAUCUGCUUUGCAUGCAGAAGGUCCUGGGUUCAAGUCCUCUGCAUUGCCA